GUAGGUGAACCUGCGGAAGGAUCAUUACUGUGGAGCCCUCGCCGGCUUCGUGGGAUAGAACCCUUGCCUUUUUCGAGUACCGCCCGUUUCCUCGGCAGGCCCGCCUGCCAACGGGGACAACCAAAACCCUUCUUUAUCUGUAACCGUCUGAACAAAAACAAACAAUCAAAACUUUCAACAACGGAUCUCUUGGUUCUG
rnacentral:misc_RNA from 1 species